AGACAUAUUUAUUCUCCAAGUAGAUCAUAAAUAUAAGUGCAUAUUCAUCUGAAGUGCUCUGUGAAAUUUUACAUUUCAAUUCAACAACUUUGCUGACGAAGACUUGCAAUGUUUCCUCCUGCUCCAUAGGGUCAGACAGAUGUGAUCAAACAUAUGUAAUGUGUCAGAUAUAUGGAAAACACAACUGCAAUCAUUUUUCUUUAUGAAAAGAAAAGAAUGUGCCCUUAAGCCACGUGAAGGAGAAAAGCCUAUACACCUAGAAUCAAACUGUAUCUAGAUUCAUUUAGAAAACUGGAACAUGAUUUCCUCUGAAUAACAGACACAGAGCCCCAGGCACUUUGUAUGUUCAAAAAUUAAACUUACAACUGGCAUACAUCUGGCAGUGAUCCUGUACACUAAAUCCAUUUGGUUGGCCAGAUGGCCUGAGACUUGCAGCUUUUUAAUCUCGCACACAAAGCACUUUAGGCUGGAAAAAAUAAUAAAUACAACGUAAUACAGCAUCGUGACAGAAUGCUUCUUUUAUUGAUUUUGGAGCUAUAGGUAUGGGAAAAUCUGGUCUAAGAAGGUACUGUUUUCCCAACUCACUCUCCCAGACUUGUUCAGAUGCUGUGAUUGUUAUCCUCUUUUCCUCUGUUCUUGUACCUUGUUCAUUCUCAGCAAAGGAUCUGUGACCCCUUAGGUUCAGGGGUGUAUGCUGGAGGCAGAGAAUGGCACAAUCAGACUGUAACUUCUCUCUGAUGAGGAAGAACAAGACUGUGAUAUCUUAACACCUAUUUUACUUCUGCAUCCCAUAUUGUCUUUUCUUUUUUUUUUUGCUUUAAAACCAGACAAGUUUAAAAUCUGAGACUUUCUAGAACCCACUGACUUCAUGACUACACGAAUAUCCAUCUAUGACAUUACUGUGCUGUUACCAUGCCUUUCACCUGCCUGCACUGCCAUUAACUGAAUGCCAUCAGGAAAGGAGGAAUUUGCCAGCUCUAAUGGAGUCAUUUCAAGCUUCUGACACCUCGGCUUACUGCAUGACCACAAUACCUCACAGGAGCUGAUAGUUGUGGUUCUUAAUCAUCCAAAGACAAACCAGGACUUGAUAUAUCUGGUGUGCAACAAGCACAGCUUCAGCAAGGAUUCAAGGCUUUCUUCAGGGAUGUGACCUCUUGCUGAUUUACAGUGAACAACAAACGUUCCACUUUUAUUAAGUACAACAUUUACUAUGCUUAUUAAUUUUGCCUAAUUUGUCAUCAUUUUCAAAUAUCCUCUGUAUGAAACUGCCUUUCAGGAACUGAUGUCUG
rnacentral:lncRNA from 1 species